ensembl:lncRNA
AUGAACGGGCCCUCGCACCCGGGCUCACCGCCAGCGGGUGGCUUUUGUAAAACAGCGAACGGCGAGAUAUAUGCGUUUAAUGUGGUAAAUAUAAGAGAAAUAUGUCAAAGACAUUUAUGUGUGCCAAUCUUCCUGAUUGUGAAUAAUUUGUGUUCAUUUAACAGCUGCGGUCCUUAUAUAACUCUACCCUUCCAUCUGGCAUCCUCCCAUUAAUCCAGGCAUCCAGUAUCUGGUUCAUUUUCGGAAGGUGCGAUGAUGGGAUUAUGUGUGUCAUCGAUGCAUCCAACCACACUGGAAAUCAUGAAGCAAAUUAUAAUUAUUACUUUCAGAGGUCACAACAAGAUGUUAUCAAGUGAACAUCAUUUAUCAGAUUAUCCUAAUUUAAACCGAUUUCUCAACCACUGACCUGCACUCUGUGAAUCUCCUCUUUGAUGGAUCUCACUGGUUUGUGUUCAGGAAACAACACAAAAACUCUCCAAAAGAGCGUGAGAGCAAUUGCACACUUUCCUUCCUGCUCUGAUACAGUUGCCUUACUAAUGUGCUCUGCAUCUCCGAUGUUACAUUAAAAAAAAAUGUGCAAUAAAUGAAUGUAGGCCUACUUUUAAGAAAAAAAUGAUUUUCUUACUUAGCCUUUUAUCCAUUCAAAAUAUCUAAACAUUCUUAAAUCAAGAUGCAUUUACUACAUAAGAAAACGCCCCUUUAUGCCCCUUUAGCACUUCAUUUAAUAAUAUGUUUACAAAAUGAGAACACAAGAGACAGUGAAAAUGCAUGUUAGAAACAGUGUUUACUGUUUACAUGACCUCUCUCUAUGACAGAAUUUAUAUAUCAGAGUUCAUCAGAGUAAAAAAAAAACAUCAACAUCUUAUGUUAGAGGAACUCACUGUCUUGUAGCCCAAGAGUCAGCGGAGUCAGCAAAGUAAAUUUCAGAAUGAAGAUGAAAUCAUGGUAAAAAUGAACAAAGUAGCCUAGGCAAUAGAUUAUAUUGGAUAAUAUUAACUGUGUCUUUCUCAAUGUGUUAUUACCAUGAAAAGUCAAUGGCCAACUAAUGACAACAUGGUCCAUGGCAUUGAAGACUUAAAAACCCUUUAUCUUAUAACUUUUAACUCUUACUUGUAAAACAACAUAUCAGACAAUAUACAAUUAAUCAGUUUGACAAAUAAAAAAAUAAAAAAGGAAAAAUACAACAACAUUAAUUAAAAGCCUACCACUGUAGCCUAUACAGUUACAAUAGGUGAGUCUGGUGUUUGAAACAUUAGAGUCAUGAAAUACACAGAAAGUUAUGAUAUAGCCUACAGGUGGUAAUUUGGUCAGUUCAUCACUUAGCCUACAAUAGGCUUAUUCAGGGAAGUGCAGGAAAUGGUUGAGUAUUAUUUUAGGUAUAACAUCUGUAGGCAUAUUUAGUGCCUAUCAUGUCCAUUUAUAGCCUUUACACAUCAGCUUGUAUACUUGUAUGGUUAAAAAGCUUCAAAUUUCAAGGCGCUGACGUCACGUCAGGUCGUCACGUGGGUCAGCCGUUUGAAAGUUCAAGACGUUCGGAUAGACGUUCGGAUAGACGUUCGAUCGGUCGGUCGGUCGCUCGGAUGUUUGAUUUUGGCACGGAGUACCCGCCAUAGAGUUACAACAACUUCUAUUCCCAUGGUGAGACAUCAAACUUUGUCACGGCGCCAUGGCCACACCCUUUAAUGAAACCUCAAGAUGUUCACAAUUUAACUUCGCAAUGGCCUUUAGAUUAGACUGACCAGUCAUAAAAUUUCAAGGAGUAGUUUGUUACGGCGUAAAACAUGUCACUUCCUGUUGCCAGCAGGUGGCGCUAUAGCAAAAUCUGAAUAUUGGCAUGUAGAUAUAUUCAGGUCAGGAGUCUUAUCAAACAUGUGAAGUUUGGGGUAGAUUGGACAUUGUAUGUCUGAGUUAUAGCAACUUCCUUUCUCAUGGCGAAACAUCGAAAUUUGUAAGGCCGCCACAGACACGCCCUUAAAUGAAACCUCAAGAUCUUCGCAAUUUAACAUCGCAAAGUCCUUUAGAUUACACUGACAAAGUUUGGUGUUGAUCUGAAUAAAUCUCUAGGAGGAGUUCG